rnacentral:rRNA from 1 species
GACGAACGCUGGCGGCGUGCCUAACACAUGCAAGUCGAACGGAGAUAGUUAAUGAAGCUUGCGAUUUAGCUAUCUUAGUGGCGAACGGGUGAGUAACGCGUGGGUAACCUGCCCUUAAGACCGGGACAACAGCUAGAAACGGCUGCUAAUACCGGAUGUAUUGUCCGAGAGGCAUCUCUCGGAGAAGAAAGCUGGCCUCUGAAAAUGCUAGCGCUUAGGGAUGGACCCGCGUCUGAUUAGCUAGUUGGUGGGGUAAAAGCCUACCAAGGCGACGAUCAGUAGCCGGCCUGAGAGGGUAAACGGCCACACUGGGACUGAGACACGGCCCAGACUCCUACGGGAGGCAGCAGUGGGGAAUCUUCCGCAAUGGACGAAAGUCUGACGGAGCAACGCCGCGUGUAUGAAGAAGGCCUUCGGGUUGUAAAAUACUGUUGUUAGGGAAGAACGGCAUCUGUGUAAAUAAUGCAGGUGAUUGACGGUACCUAACGAGGAAGCCCCGGCUAACUACGUGCCAGCAGCCGCGGUAAUACGUAGGGGGCAAGCGUUGUCCGGAAUCAUUGGGCGUAAAGGGCGCGUAGGCGGCUAUAUAAGUCUGAUGUGAAAGUGCGGAGCUUAACU